CCCCUUAUAAUCCUACUAGUGGGUAUAUGUUGUGCAAUCAAUAUAUGCUUAAGCCUAAAAGAGAAAGGAUUUUCUUUUUUUUUCGUAUAUGUUUCGUGAUCGUCAUCAAGCACCUUGUGUGUCCACAAAAAAUUACAUAUUUUCAUAUUCACUGUAAAUCAUAUUCUUCAGCAUUGAGAACUAGAAUUUUUUUUGCAACAAAAAAUCCAGAGCAGCAUGAAAAUAUUUUUUUUAUCGUUAAAAUGAGAGGAAAUCCAUUUAUCUAACAAAAUGGUAACUCACCGUUGAUCCGCAAGAACACUUGAGAAUCCACUGAACGGCAAUAAAUUUGUUCUCCAUCUGAAUAUUCCGGGAAUGGAGGAGUUCCUGAUCAAUGGGAUCCAGCCAACUAUUGUCCCAUAGAUCAUAUCCAGCCUCAAUGAAACUGAUUGGAUCUCCCGAAUUGAGUGGACAUAAAAAUUCUACCUACAAAAAGAAUUAAAAAGAAAAAUAUCCUUUUUUAUGAAUUUUUCUAUCUUAAAAUAAUUUUUUUUCUAAAAUGAUUUUUUUUUCUUCUUACUUGUAUAGUUGUAGAUAACGAAGGCACACAGUUCAUUUUGGAAUUCUGGCAGAGGCCACAAAUCUUUGGGCGAUACAAUCGUCGCGAAACACAAGGCCCCAACCGAAUUCUAGACGGUCCCAUUUUCUGCAUCUUCCUGCAUCCUCCAUGGCCUUUCUGCGGAGUUUUUAGAAAUUCUUUUUAAAGCUGAUCUUCACAGAGACGUAUAUCAUUGAGAUCCUGACAUCCCAUCGUUGUUUCAACGUGCCUCGUUGAAAUACCCACGCCACAUUCCUCCGAGCACUCUGUCCAAG